UACAGAGGUCCCAAGCGUUGUUCGGAUUUACUGGGCGUAAAGGGUGCGUAGGUGGUCGGGUAAGUCUCAUGUGAAAUCCCGCAGCUUAACUGCGGAACGGCAUGGGAUACUAUUCGGCUCGAGGAUUGGAGGGGGGACUGGAAUUCCCGGUGUAGCAGUGAAAUGCGUAGAUAUUCGGAGGAACACCAGUGGCGAAGGCGGCUCACUGGUCCAUUACUGACGCUGAGGUGCGAAAGCGUGGGGAGCAAACAGG
rnacentral:rRNA from 1 species